rnacentral:rRNA from 1 species
AUUGAACGCUGGCGGCAGGCUUAACACAUGCAAGUCGAACGAUGAUUAUCUAGCUUGCUAGAUAUGAUUAGUGGCGGACGGGUGAGUAACAUUUAGGAAUCUGCCUAGUAGUGGGGGAUAGCUCGGGGAAACUCGAAUUAAUACCGCAUACGACCUACGGGUGAAAGGGGGCGCAAGCUCUUGCUAUUAGAUGAGCCUAAAUCAGAUUAGCUAGUUGGUGGGGUAAAGGCCCACCAAGGCGACGAUCUGUAACUGGUCUGAGAGGAUGAUCAGUCACACCGGAACUGAGACACGGUCCGGACUCCUACGGGAGGCAGCAGUGGGGAAUAUUGGACAAUGGGGGCAACCCUGAUCCAGCCAUGCCGCGUGUGUGAAGAAGGCCUUUUGGUUGUAAAGCACUUUAAGCAGGGAGGAGAGGCUAAUGGUUAAUACCCAUUAGAUUAGACGUUACCUGCAGGAUAAGCACCGGCUAACUCUGUGCCAGCAGCCGCGGUAAUACAGAGGGUGCGAGCGUUAAUCGGAAUUACUGGGCGUAAAGCGAGUGUAGGUGGCUCAUUAAGUCACAUGUGAAAUCCCCGGGCUUAACCUGGGAACUGCAUGUGAUACUGGUGGUGCUAGAAUAUGUGAGAGGGAAGUAGAAUUCCAGGUGUAGCGGUGAAAUGCGUAGAGAUCUGGAGGAAUACCGAUGGCGAAGGCAGCUUCCUGGCAUAAUAUUGACACUGAGAUUCGAAAGCGUGGGUAGCAAACAGGAUUAGAUACCCUGGUAGUCCACGCCGUAAACGAUGUCUACUAGCCGUUGGGGUCCUUGAGACUUUAGUGGCGCAGUUAACGCGAUAAGUAGACCGCCUGGGGAGUACGGCCGCAAGGUUAAAACUCAAAUGAAUUGACGGGGGCCCGCACAAGCGGUGGAGCAUGUGGUUUAAUUCGAUGCAACGCGAAGAACCUUACCUGGUCUUGACAUAGUGAGAAUCCUGCAGAGAUGCGGGAGUGCCUUCGGGAAUUCACAUACAGGUGCUGCAUGGCUGUCGUCAGCUCGUGUCGUGAGAUGUUGGGUUAAGUCCCGCAACGAGCGCAACCCUUUUCCUUAUUUGCCAGCGGGUUAAGCCGGGAACUUUAAGGAUACUGCCAGUGACAAACUGGAGGAAGGCGGGGACGACGUCAAGUCAUCAUGGCCCUUACGACCAGGGCUACACACGUGCUACAAUGGUAGGUACAGAGGGUUGCUACACGGCGAUGUGAUGCUAAUCUCAAAAAGCCUAUCGUAGUCCGGAUUGGAGUCUGCAACUCGACUCCAUGAAGUCGGAAUCGCUAGUAAUCGCAGAUCAGAAUGCUGCGGUGAAUACGUUCCCGGGCCU